rnacentral:rRNA from 1 species
AAUAUUGCACAAUGGGCGAAAGCCUGAUGCAGCCAUGCCGCGUGUGUGAAGAAGGCCUUCGGGUUGUAAAGCACUUUCAGUCGUGAGGAAGGGGUAGUAAUUAAUACUUGCUAUCUUUGACGUUAGCGACAGAAGAAGGACCGGCUAACUCCGUGCCAGCAGCCGCGGUAAUACGGAGGGUCCGAGCGUUAAUCGGAAUUACUGGGCGUAAAGCGUACGCAGGCGGCUUGUUAAGCCAGAUGUGAAAUCCCCGGGCUCAACCUGGGAAUGGCAUUUGGAACUGGCAAGCUAGAGUUUUGUAGAGGGUGGUAGAAUUUCAGGUGUAGCGGUGAAAUGCGUAGAGAUCUGAAGGAAUACCAGUGGCGAAGGCGGCCACCUGGACAAAAACUGACGCUCAUGUACGAAAGCGUGGGGAGCAAACAGGAUUAGAUACCCUGGUAGUCCACGCCGUAAACGAUGUCUACUAGUUGUCUGUGAGUUUAACUCGUGGGUAACGCAGCUAACGCAUUAAGUAGACCGCCUGGGGAGUACGGCCGCAAGGUUAAAACUCAAAUGAAUUGACGGGGGCCCGCACAAGCGGUGGAGCAUGUGGUUUAAUUCGAUGCAACGCGAAGAACCUUACCUGCCCUUGACAUACUGAGAAC